rnacentral:lncRNA from 1 species
GGUUAUACUUCUAGAUUCGGUUUGAUCCAUGUAGAUUACGAAAAUAACCGAGCAAGAGACCUCAAGCAAUCAGCUAAUUGGUUCAUGGAAUUCCUGAAAAACAAGACCUCAGGCAAUCAGCAAAUUUAUGAUGAUGGUUUAUCUCAUUUAUAUAGGGAUUAAAGAUAGCAUCGUCAGUUGAAAUGAAACCAUCUGGAGUUUUUCAAUUGUCAUGGCAAAGACAUGUAGCUGUCUAAAUAACCAUUGCUAUGUCUGUAUGAUGUGGUUAAUGGUUAUGCUUUUUUUAGAAUAAAUAAAUGAAUAAAUGGAAUUUCAUCUUUCAAUUUUUAUGCCAUUAUGAAUGCCAAUACUUCUCUUUUUCUUUUAACUAUGUAAUAAUGGAAAAAAUUGCCAACCCCAGAAAGCAUAAGAGAUGAUGAAUUGAGAGAAAGCUAAAACAAUGCAAAUGGCGAUCUGAUGAGACAGCAGUCACAUGAAAAAUAAUGGGUCUUGCUUCCUCAAUUCAAAGCAAUUUCUGUUUGGUUCCUUAUUAUUAUUAAUCUACCCUACUUAUCUUCUUCUUCAAAUUAUUCAUCCAGCAUCCCACACUGCCUUGACCUGGUAAAUACAUGAACAUAAAAAGAAGAAUAAGAGAAGAUUAGUCAAUUUCCUGAAUAUGACCUGACAUAGCUAACAGAGACAUACAUGGUUUUUGGACCAUAAUAUUUGUGGGAGAAGAAGGUAGACAGGAUUGAUUCAAUUUUGCUUUAGUCCCUCUAAACUUUAACCAAAAUCAUUAAUAAUUUCAAGGUGAUCACACCUAGGUGGGGGACUAGAUAGGGUUGUGCUCAUUCUUGACUGGUACAACAAGUAUAUAUUAGCCAUUAUUAUAUCAUAUAUAUUCUAAAGCAUUUUUUUAAUUGUAGUAAUGAUAAUUUGCCAUGCAAGAAAAGAAAGUGCCUAAAAAGAUUUUCUUGGUGAAUCUUGAAGGAAACAAUAAGUUGGGAAAUAAUAGAAAAGGGUGUGAAAUCUGAUUAUGCAAGCAAGAAACUAAUUGUAAUGCCAAACAAUGGCCACAACUUUUUAAACAUCAAGUUAUAUAUCACUUAUCAGAAUGAAGCUCCAUUGCUGCUGAUGAAUUUAAAUCAAGAUUUGAAAGUGAAAAAUACCAGAAAUUAAUGAAUGAAAAAAAAAAUUAUAAUAAAUGCACAUGGAGAAGAGACAAUACUCACAUGGGAGAAUGACUCAUAACAUGCAGCUUUAGCUUUGUCAAAUCAAAACAAGUCUAUUCAAAUUAUUUAUUUCCAUCAUUCUUGUGUUUCUCAACAGAGCUCCAAGAGAAUUUCUUUUGAAAAAAAAAAUAAAAAUAAAAACACAAUAAACGACUUAGCUAAAAAUGAAACUGUAGGAAUUCUCAUUCCUUAGUAAAUUGACUUAUUGCCUGAAAAUAAACAUUUCGCUUUCGUAAAGAAUAGAGUUGUCCUUUUCAAACUCUCUCUAUAUAUAUACAUAUCUUUUAUGAAUGCCAACUGAUUACUAGAUGGUCCAAUUCAUUAUUAACAAAAAAAUUCCAUAAUUAUAUUAUUCAUUAAUAAAUAAAAAAAUCAUAAUUGAAAAGGAAAUAAUUUAUGGUAUAUUGGAAUCCAUCCAGAAAACAGAGCAUACCUUAGGCCUGCUCUGCCAUAGGCAAGAUUAUCCACAACAUAUUCAGUCCUUUCUCUUUUUUUUCCUUUUUUUUUGGGGGCACUGGUUCAAUAAUUUUAAAUAAUUUAGCUCAAAUGAGCUUGCCAUUUUUUGCCAGUGUUAGGGGAGUGGGGGACCUGGAUAGCCCAUACUGGAAUAGCUGUACAAUUUCUUUUUUUUUUUUGUUCCCCCCUCCCCAUUUUGUUCUCUAUUGGGAAAUGAAUGUUUGUUUCUAACCAAACUACUUUCUUCAUUAAUACUCAACUUACUCCAUGGUUGUGCAUGAGAGGUGAGUAUAUGUUUCUCACUAUAUUUGUCCCAGGGCUUAGAAAUUCAAAAGAUAAGUUAAAUGUGUAUUUGCAACCCUUAGUAACUGAGUUGAAAGAUUUAUGGGAGAAUGGAGUUGAAAUAUAUGAUACAUUCAAUAAAGAAAAUUUUAACUUGUGAGCUGCUUUAAUGUGGACUAUAAGUGAUUUUUCUACUUAUGCAAUGUUAUCUGGAUGGAACACUGCAGGACGGACCUUUUAUCUUUAUUGCAUGGAAGAUAGUGAUGCGUUCAUAUUUACAAGAGGAAAUAAGCAAUCAUGGUUUGAUAAUCAUCACAAAUUUUUAUCUCUUAGCCAUUCUUUUAGAAGAAACAAAACAGUUUUUAGGAAGAAUGUAUCUAUUACUAAGCAAGCUAAACCACCAAUCUCUGGUAAAGAAGUAUUGAAACAGAUUGAUGAAUUGGAGUUUAAGAGGGUUAUAGAUGAAAAUGCAUUUGAAACAAAUCCCUGUCUAUCAAAGCAAUGCGGUUGGCGAAAAAGAAGUAUCUUAUAGAAUUUACCGUAUUGGAAAAGUAAUUUGGUUCGGCACAAUCUCGAUAUUAUGAACAUUGAGAAAAAUUCUUUAAAAACAUAAUCAACACUAUAAUAAGUGUUGAAGGAAAGACAAAGGACAAUGCUAAGUCAAGGGCAGACCUAAAUGUGAUAUGCGUUCGGCUAAAGUUGGAAAUGAAUCAAGUCACUGGGAGAUAUCCCAAAACUUGUUAUACUCUAGAUAAGCAAAGUAAGCAAGUGUUAUGUGAUUAACUGAAAAAUCUCAAGUUUCCCGAUAGAUAUGUUUCCAAUAUGGGGUAAUGUAUUGAUAUGAAGAAGCUGAAGAUGUUUGGGAUGAAGAAUCAUGAUUAUGCCAAUUGCAUUUUGUGAGUUGUUUCCUUCGAAUGUUUGGCAGCCCUUAACAGAGUUGAGCAAUUUUUUUAAGGAAUUAACAUCUACCGCUAUAAGUGAGAGUGAUAUGCUACGGUUGCAUGGUGAAAUUCUUUUGAUCAUAUGUAAGCUUAAGCGUGUUUUCCCUCCAAGCUUCUUUGAUUGUAUGGAAUAUCUCCCCGUCCACCUAGCAUAUGAAUCAUGGCUGGCAGGUCCAGUGCAAUAUCGGUGGAUAUAUCCUUUUGAACAGUAAACUCUUUUAACUUCACUUUAAUUAAGUUAUUUAAUAAUAUUUACUAAUAUUGGUCAUAUAUUUUAUAGAUAUCUGUGACGGCUUAAGAAUAAUGUUAGAAAUAAAGCUAGAGUCGAGGGAUCAAUAUGUAAUGCGUACCUAGUAGAAGAAGCAACAUCAUUUUGUGCGCAUUACUUUGAGUCAUAUGUCCAAACUAGAAAUCAAAAAGUACCAAGGAAUGUUGACAUUUCAGAAAGUAUUGAAAAUUAUAAAGGCAAUCUGUCAAUUUUCAUGCAGUCCGGUCGACCAAUAGGAAAAAGGACAACCAUGUACCUUAUGGAGGAUGAGUAUAUAUUAUUAAAUUACCCAGAAGUGAAACCCUACGUUGAGUAAGUUAUCGUAAAUAAUUAAUUUACAUGUUAGUUUUUUAAAUUACUUUUUCUAAUUCAGUUGAGGUUUUUCCAGUAUUUAUAUUGAUCAAUUGCGCUCAAAUGAUCUGUUAGUCAAUGAUUCUCAGAUUAACAUCAAAUUGGAGAGUGAAUUCUCUAUAUGCUUCAAUAAUUUUGCUCAUGAUUCGUGCAAUAAUAUAUCCAACAAGUUUAUCAUAUCACUUGUAAAGGGUCUAUUAUGAAGUAUGACAUCAUACAAUGGAUAUAUGGUGAAUGGAUAUAAGUUCUAAUCAAAGUUAUACUAUGCAAGUAGAGCAACUAUGAAUAGUGGGUGUGUAUUAAGGGGUCAAAUUACAGCAGCGAAAAGAGUGAUUACUAUGAACAAUUGCUUAAAGUUAUACGUUUGAAGUAUCCAGAUCUUCCAAUCAAGCAAUUUGUACUUUUCAAAUGCAAUUGGUUUGACUCCAUUCCAAAUGUAGGCACAAAGAUCCAUAGUAAAUAUAAACUUAUUGAUGUAAAUCAUAAACGAUCUUUUAAUAGAUAUGAGCCUUUUAUGCUGGGAAUACAAGCAAUACAAGUUAUAUAUACUCAGUAUCCUAGCCUAAGGCGAGACAAAAUUGAAUGGUGGACUGCUAUAAAAGUCAAAACACGGUCUGUAAUUCAACUUCCAACACAGAAAAAUACACAACCUGCUAAUGAACCAUUUCAAUAAGAUGAAUUGAAACACACUGCCAUUAUUAAAAAAAAAUUCAUGAUUGAACACAAUAAUUAAAUGAUCCAAUUGAGGAUGUUACUGAAAUUGAUGAUGGUGAAGAAAAUGGUCAAGAUGAAACUAUAAUAGCAAUAAAAAUAGAUGAUGAUGAUGAUAAUGAUGACUUAGAUGUAGAUAGUGAAUAAAAGGUAUAACAUAAUUGAUAUCUAUUUUUACUUUCAGUUAUUGAAUAUGUUUUACCACAUGUGAUUUGUUUAAUAUGAAUUUAUAUAGGAUGAGAGGACAAGGAUGAGAACGUUGAUCUUCAUCACGGGGUCGAGAAGACCACAGUAGGGGCAGUGUCCACACGAGUGAAUCACAAAAUAUCAAUCAAGAUUUGGUACAACACACUGCUUUAAUUCCUAGACCAUACCAGGGUGAGAGAUCCACACAGGGUGCUGCAUCAUCCACCUCUGCUUCAGUGCACACAUCUACUACUGUCUCAACUCCCAUAAGUUUGCCACCUAUUACAUUGACGACAGCAUCUGCAUCUGCAUUUGCUUCUGGUAGUUGUGGAUCUACAGGACACAGACCAUAUAUUUUCUUAGUAAACUCAAUGUGAGUAAAAUUUAUAAGUAUUUUUAAAUAUGCAUUUAAUUUCUCUGCUUAUUUCAAAAUAAUUAUUUUGUCAAUUGUUUUUUUACAGCAUGCAGCCUUCUGAUCUGAUUGCUAGGCGGAUUACCUUGAUUUUCAAGGAAAAGUUAGUAGCAGAUGGCUUUUAUUGGAAAAAUAUACCAGAAAAGGUUAAAGAAUUUUAUUGGCAAGAAUUUAAGGCAAAUACAAAUUUUACUGUGCAUGUGAUUAAUUUUACUGUGCAUUAUUUGUCACUAAAUGUGAGUAAUUACAGAAACAUUUCUUAUGGGAGGAGGCAAUAGAGUAGCUUAUAAAGAUAGUUUGGAGAAAGAAAGCUGUUGAGCACUAUCGUAGCCUUAUGUGUAGCAUAAGGAAUGACAGGAGAAGAGGCUAUCACUGUCAGAAGGAGUAAUGAAUGCAUGGCAAUCCGCUUUGGGUACUGCUAAGUAUCAAGACAAAUGCAAAAAAUUCUCAAAUAGCAAAAAAAGUAAAACAGAUGGGUAAGGCAUUGGUCCAUUAAGACAUUGUAGAGGAUCCAUAUCUUAAUAUAGGCAUCAACAAUACAUGGUAUGUGAUAUUUAUUUUCACUUAAAUUUUUUCAAAUGCUUUAAAUUUUAUUCAAUUUAUUGUGAAUUUAUAUUGAAGCAUAUUAUUACUAUUUAUAUUUAACUUAUAGCGAAAGACUAGGCAGAAAUCCUCUACCUCAUGAGUUAUUUGAGAUUACUCAUAAGAAGAAGAGUACCUCAGAAUUCAUUGAUGCACGCUCAAAAGUCAUUCAUGUGAGAAAUUAAAUAAAUUUAUAAUAAAUUAUUUGAUUUAUAGUUUAUACUAUUAUAUCACAUGGUAUUUAUUUUUUGAAAGACUGGUUUAUGUCUUUAAAAGAGCAAGCAUUACAGACAGAUAAUGACAGUACUGAGACAUCUCACAGUGAUGAGGCUCUAUUAUACUUUGAGGCAGUGGGUGGAGAGAAAAAAAGAAGGGUAUAAGGACUUGGAUCAUAGGCUUCAAUUUUCUUUCCAAACAAGUCUUCUGCUAGUACAUCCUUCACAUCAGCUCAACAAAAUCAGGAUCUUCAUGAUGAAAUGGCUUAUCUCAUAUGCAAGCUAUAGGAGCGUGAGGAUAAUGAACAAGUAUUGCGUGAGCAAAAUGUAUGGAUUACCUCUGAGCUCUCACAGGUGAAAGAUUUACUUAUGCAGCUCGUGAGUCAAAAACAAGGUAGCUAACCUUCAGCUCCUAUUACGGUGAGGGAACUUCUGCAUAGCCUCCUAAUUACGCAAAUGAAACUAAUGAUAAGGACGAGGAUACUAUACAUUUAUAGUUUCUUUUUUCAUUACCCAUAUGUACUAAGAUAAUAAAUAAUUUAUUAAUAUUUUUAGUUUAAAAUCGGUCAAUUUGAUACUUUGAUAUAUGUUAUGUUUGAUUUGUUUUACAUUAUAUAUUAUAUUGGAUUUGAAUUCAUUCAUGAUAUGUAUGACAUUAGUUUUCACAUUUAUUAUUGAGAUGAGUUGUAAAAGUUGAGCGUAUUUAUAGGUUAAAUUGUCUGGUUAAAAUAUAUAAAUUAUAAUAUUUUUUUAUAAUUUUAUAAAUAGUAACGAAUAAAAUUGAUACUGUCUUUUGAAAAAUAAUAACGGAUUUCUAUAACAAAUAUUACUAAAAAAAUUCGUUAUUAAAACUAGAUAAAAGGAAAUUAAAUUUAGUAACGGAUUUUAUAUUAGCAAAAGAUUUUAUAAUCCGUUAUUAAUACAUUAGCAACGAAAUUUAUUGUAACAAAAUAUAUUCAUUAUAAAUUCGUUAUAAAAUAUUUUUAAUAAUAAAUUUCUAAUAAUUAAUAACAAAAAUUUUUAUUAUUAAUGCAAUAUUUUUUUGUAGUGCUCGAAUCUGUUUAGCAUUAUAAUUAUAACUCGUGAGUGAGAAAAUCAUGUUCUUAGUAUAGUUUAAAGUUAAAUUUAAUAUGUCUUAACUCUAAAAUAAUUAGAUGAUUUAUUGUUUUAAAUUGAUUUUUCUUAAAUGAUAUUAAUUUUAAAAUUCUUGAUGCAUUAGAAUAAAAUUAAGCAAGAAAUAAUUUUAAUAAAAAUAUUUUUUUGAUAAUCAUAUUUUAUUAUAUGGUAAUGAAUAAAAUAAAAAUUAUAUUCUAGUACCAUAUUUGUAAUAUUGUAUUUAUAAUAUCAAAAUUGACUAAAGUAAAUGUUAUUUUUCUAAUAGUUUUUCAAUUAAUUUUAAUUAUAUGUAAAGUAUUUUAAUAAUUAAGUAUUGUAAUAAUAGAUUAUAUCUAAUUAUUUAUUAAAAUAGUGAUUUAUAAUAAUAUUAUAUUAUAUAAAAAAUAAUAAAAUUACGUUAUAACAAGUUUAUAUGUAAAAAAUGAAUCACACCAUUUAUGAAAUAAAUUUGCAAGUCCGUGCAAGUCGGAAUACAGAAUAUAUUAUUAUUUCAAAGAGAACGCAUGUCAAAUUAUUUUAGUUAUUAUACAUAAAGAAAUGGAGAGAGAAUUUCUUGGAAAAACCAAAAAAAAAAAAAAAAAGCAAUCCCUAUUAGGUAUCAUACAAAAUUAAGUUCUCUAUUUUUUAUUGAAAAUAUUAAUUCAAUUAGGAUGAGAUUAAAGAAAUGACGUGUUCAUGGAAAAAUUAACUUUUUAAAUAUUAAUUAUGUGAUGUAGUAAGUAAAUUUAAAAUAAAAAAUAUUUUUUUUAUGUAUUUUUAGAAGUUAAAAUAGAGAGUAUUGGGUGGCGGCUGUAUCGAUUUAGUAAAAUAUAUAUAAUAAAAUUAAGUUUUUUACGUAUAAUUUUAAAAAAAUUUUCUGUCCAUUUAAUUUCUUUUAUAAUUUAUAAUCUUGAGCCUUUUAAUUUUUUUUUACAUUAUUUAUAACUUUUUAUAUAUUUUUUAAUUAAAUGAACUUAAAUUUUAUAUUAUUUCUCUUGCUAUUUAAUUUUAAAUAAAUAAAAUUUUUAAUUACUCAAAAUAUAUAUUUUUAUUUUUAAUUAUAAAUUUAUUUUGACUAUGUAUAAAUGGUGAUCCCAUCAUCAUUCAUUCUUAUGGAUAUUUAAUUGCUAAAUAAUAGUAAUCAUAUCAGCAUGCAUUAUUCUUAUCUUUUUUUUUAUAUAUAUAUAUUGAACUAAUAUAAGAUGAAUUUAUGAAUGAUUUUAUUUAAAUAUGUAUAUUUAUUAUAUCAUAUCUUAGUUAAUCUUUUAAUAUAAAUCUUUUUUUUCUAUCAUGUUUAAUGGCAGGGCAAAUUAAUAAAUGCUUGAAUCUGAAUCUGAAUCUGAAUCUGAAUCAAAUGUUAAUUAUUAAUUUUAGUUGAAAUAUAUAUAUAUUUUUUGUCUUUUUUACAAGGCCAAUUGGUUCAAGCAAGUGGGGGUUUUCCUUCCAAUGUCAGCGUUUCCACAAACAAGGCCAAUUGGUUCUUCUUCCUAUGCGUUUAAAAAAAACUUGUUAAAAAAUCAUUAGUUUCACUAAUGAUUUAUUUGAUUUUUAAUUGAGUAAUAUAAGUAAACGGUGCAUUAAUAAGAAUUUAAACACAUUGCUUUAUUUCUGCUUAAAAAAUUCAAUAUUAAACUUCAUGCAUUUAAUGUUCAUAGGAAAGAGCGAAAAAAAUUAUUAUUUUUUGAGCCACCAUAUGCUCAUCCCUGGAUCCAAUAAGCUGGAGAAAAAAAUGGUCACUGAAACUAAAGAUAUCACGAUUAAUUAUCAUAAUUAUUUAUUAUUAUUAUAUGUUUGAAUUUGAAUCUUAAAGAGCAGGAAUUAUUUAAUACUGCAUGUGAACAAUAUUAUAAAUAAAAAAUUGUUUGAAUUUGAAUCUCGAGUAGGAACUAUUUAAUACAGAAUGUGAAUAAUAUUAUAAAAAUAAAAUAAAAUCAUCACGUGAGGAAUUUAUUUGCUUAUAAAAUGGGCAUUGCUAUGACAUGAUUAAGCACUUGAAGUAUGGCAGCUACAAGCUCUUUUCUAUUAGGAUUCACGUCCUUCUUGCUGUUAGGUUUAUUUGUUCCUACGUCUGAGCAAACACUGGAAGAUGAUAUUAUCCCACUUGAUUUCGAUUAUAAAUAUUUCCCCGUUAAUUUCACUUUCGGAACAGCCACUUCCGCUUAUCAGGUAUAAUUUACUUUUAGCUUUUAAAAAUUUUAAUGUUGUAUCUCUUAUUUAAUAAAAAAUUUUUGCUUAUGAAAAAAAAAAAUACUUUAACCUUUUUGAUAGACAUAAUUUUGUGAAAAAAAUAGCUAAAACUCAUUUAUGGUAAUAUAUUUCAGAUCGAAGGUGAAGCGAAUACAAAGUGUAGAGGACCCUCUAUAUGGGACGUAUUCACCCAUGAUUUUUCAGGUCUAUCUUUGAUUUUACAUUUUUCUUUUUUCUUCAUUCAUGAAAUUAAAUAUAAUAUAAUUUGAUAAAUGCUCUUAUUAUAUUCACUCGAGGAUAGAUUUUUUUUUUAAAUAAAAAAUCUAUUUCAUAUAAUUAGUUCUACGUACAUUUACCAUCAUAUUCCAAUGAAAUAUGAUAAUUAAGAAUAUAUAAUUGCUUAAUUAUUUUUUUUUUGGAAUUAUGCAGAGAGGAUAAAAGAUCAAAGCAAUGGCAUUAACGCAGUUGACUUUUAUAAUCGUUACAAGGUAUAAAAUAAAUAAUUUUUUUCUGAAAAUAUUUAUAUUAAUUCCAGUUCUUUUUAAGAACAAAUAAAAAAAUAAAAAUGAUAAAAUUAAUGUUGCAGGAAGAUAUUCAAAGAAUGAAGGAAAUGGGUUACAAAGCUUUCAGAUUUUCAAUUUCAUGGUCUAGAAUAAUACCCAGUAAGUACAUUACCACAGCUUAAGCCUUAAAGUUUAAUAUUGGCUUAAUUGAUACUUAAAGGAUUGUGCUCAAAAUGUAUAGUGAUUUUGUUAUAUUAUAUAUUUAUGUUUCUAAAUAUUCAAUGUUUAGGUGGGAGAAUACGUGAUGGAGUAAAUGAGCAAGGAAUUGAAUUUUACAACAAUCUUAUAGAUGAAAUCAAAAGAAACGGUAAUGAUAAUAUAUUACAAGCUUAUUUAGGUUCGGACAAUAAUCUGUUUCAGAAUUAUAUAUAAUCCUUAAUUAUUUAUUCUGAUAUACAGGAAUGGUGCCCUAUGCAACUAUUUUUCACUGGGAUACUCCUCAAGCUCUUGAAGAUAAAUAUGGUGGCUUUCUAAGUUCUGAAAUUGUGUAAGUAUAUAAUUUUCAUAUCUCACAUUUAUAUAAUAUUGGAGAUUCAGUCCAAAACUCUUAGAUUAGUUUCUUUUGACACUUAUAUUGUACAUAUAUAUAUAACACUUUAUAACUAAGAGGAUAUUUUAUUAAAUAUUAUAUUAAAUACACAGGGAUGAUUUUUAUGAUUAUGCGGAUUUUUGCUUCAAAACUUUUGGCGAUAGAGUGAAGUAUUGGAUUACUAUAAAUGAACCAUGGUCUUUGGCAUCAUUUGCAUAUGAUUCAGGAGACCAUGCCCCUGGCCGAUGCUCGGAUUGGGUGAAUCGAGCAUGCUCUGGUGGUGACUCAGCCACUGAACCUUAUAUAGUUUCCCAUAAUUUACUCCUUGCCCAUGCAACGGCUGUUGAUUUAUAUAAGAAAAAGUAUCAGGUACAAACAAAAUUACAAUAUAAAUAUAUAUAUAUAGUUAGACUAAACUAUUAAAUAAAUACAAACAUUUAACUCAUUUUCGUAAAAAAAAAAAAGUUUUUCUGACUUAAUGAUAAAAAAUUAAAUUUUUUUUAUUUACUUUAUUUCAUUAAUUAUAUUUUACCUAAUUUAAAUUUUUGUAUUAAUUAUAUCUAGUUGACUCAUUUAAUCAAAAUUAAAUGAAAACCUAGUAAAAAAUGUAUUUAUAAAACCUAUUUAUCUAUAUUUAUUAGAAAAUGAUAAUAUUUAUUUUCUUUAUUUGAAAUAUUUAUGAGUAUGAGAAAUAUAAGAGUUACUCAUCUCAUACUGAUCUCAUUACAUUGAUUGUGUAGGAAUCACAAGGUGGUAAGAUUGGGAUAACACUAAACUCAAUGUGGUUUGAGCCAUACUCCAAUAGCGCAGUUGAUAAACAGGCAGCCAGAAGAGCCCUUGAUUUCAUGUUAGGCUGGUGAGUUUUUUUUUUUUUUUUUUUUUCUUCCAAGUUGAUUCUAGUUAGCAUUUACAAUAAUAUUAAUAAUGAUGAUGAAUCCUUAUAUUAAUAUAAAUUUAUAACUUCUAGGUUUAUGGAUCCAAUAACUUAUGGUCAAUACCCAAGAAGUAUGCAAACUUUAGUUGGAAAUAGAUUGCCAAAAUUCAUGAGUAAUGAAUCUAGAUUGCUCAAAGGAUCAUAUGAUUUUAUUGGGUUAAACUACUACACUGCAACUUUUGCGAAAGGAAAUGCUAUCAUUGAUCCAAGUAGACCUAGAUAUUCAACUGAUCAUCAUGUUAUUCAAAUUGGUGAGUUCAUCUUUAUAUCAUUUUCCCAUUCAAAUAUCAAAUGAUGAUAUGAAUUGUAUAUCUGUCUCGAUGAAUAAUGUGUUCAAUUUUCAUUUUCUUUCUUCACAGCUAUUGAUCAAAAUGGUAAACCCAUUAGCGAAAUAAAGGUUGGUAUACACAUGAAGAAAAAUCUUUAAUUAAAAUAGACACAGAGGUAACGUAUAGAAUAAAUUUGCAGGGUUACUCACAUUGGAUGUAUGUUUAUCCGAAAGGCAUUCGAUAUCUUUUGAACUAUAUCAAAGAUGAAUACAGAGAUCCAAUUAUUUAUGUUACCGAAAAUGGUAAGGCAAUUAUUAAGUAAUUAUGAUAAUGCCACCUAAUUUCAUGUUCAUUAUGGUUUGAUAAUUUCCUCAUGUAUGUUCUAUACAUGUAGGGGUUGAUGAGCCCAAUAAUAAAACGUUAACCCUGGAACAAGCCCUUAAGGAUCGUGUGAGGAAAGAAUAUUAUCAAACCCAUCUUUGGAAUGUACUCAGAUCUAUCAAGUAAGUCCAAUAUUAAUAUUACAAAUUUAUUAGACAAUCUUUUACCUAAUGAUGAUUAAUUGGUUUUGACAGUGAAUAUAAAGUUAAAGUCGAAGGCUACUUUGCUUGGUCAUAUUUAGAUAAUUUUGAAUGGAGUGAAGGUUACUCUUCAAGAUUUGGUUUGAUCUAUGUAGACUAUGAUGAUAACCUAAGAAGACAUCUCAAGGAAUCAGCGAUUUGGUUUGAGAAAUUCCUCAAAGGACUUUUUAUCCUUCCUCCUGUGGAACCAGAGAAUAAAACUUUCAAUCAUAAUUUAUUCCCGGUUAACUUUACUUUUGGGACAGCUACUUCUGCUUAUCAGGUAUAAUUUGUCCUUUCUUCGAUGCUGCGAGCCUUCAAGAAUUAUAGCAAUAUACAUAUAUACACACUAUUCUACUAACGAGAUGUGGACACUAUCCAUACCAAGCAUUUUUAAAUAGCCUAAACUCGUUUAUGGUAAUAAAUUCAGAUCGAAGGUGAAGCAAACACAAAAUGCAGAGGACCUUCAACAUGGGACACAUUCACUCGUGAUUUUCCAGGUUUUUCUUUCUAUCUACAUAUUGAAUUUUUCCUUCAUUCAUAAGAUGAAGUAUAACAAUCAUUGAUUAAUGUAUAUUUGAAACAGGGUGAUUUAUAGGAGUUUUAAUAAAUAUCGUUUGAUUAAAAUAAAAUUUAAAAAGUUAGAAAUCAAAAUUUUUUUAAAUUUUUUAAAUUUUUUUAAAAUUUUUUAAAAUAGAAAAUUACUAUUUAUACGAGAAAAAAAUAUUAAUACAAAAAUUUAUAAAAAAAAUUUAAAAAUAAUUAAAAUGUAAAAUUAAUUUCCUAAAGCAUAGAAUUUAGUCUCAAACUUUGUGACAAAACCUACUAUCCUUCGUCGCAUUUCUGAAAGUCGUCUGUUUCAAAAUUCUCUUUCCGUAAAACUAUGGUGGGCCUCUAACCGACAUAAAUGAAAAUUAAGUCAUUUUUUUAUCACUUAAGUCUAGUCCAAAUUUUUUCAAAACUAAUUACUCCGCAUCAAUAUUAUUCACUUUAUGUAUAUCUUCCUCUGUGUGUUAUUUAAUUUUAACCAAAAUUAAGUUAUUCAACAUGAAAUAUUAAUUCUUUUUUUACUAUGAUUCAUAAACAACAUGAAUACUUAAUGUGUCUGUGUUAAUUAUUGAAGUUACAAAAAUAUAUGUUAUUAAUUAUUUCUAUAAAACCUUGCAGAGAAAAUAGAAGAUGGUAAGAAUGGAGAUGUAGCAAUUGAUUUUUAUAAUUUCUACAAGGUAUUGAAUCAAACAAUCUUUUUUUUUUUCUUGAAAUAUUUAUAUUAGUAUUUAUUAUUGGUACAAAUAAUAAACAUAAACGUUGAAAGUAAUAUAUUACAGGAAGAUAUUCAAAGAAUGAAAGAAAUGGGAUUUGGAGCUUUCAGAUUCUCAAUUUCAUGGUCACGAGUGAUACCUAGUAAGUAUAUUACCAAAAUUUGAGCUACGAUAUUUAUAGGUUGUACAAUAAAUGUAUAUUAAUUUUGUAAUAUUACAUAUUUAUAUUUCAUAUGUUAAAUUUUUAGGUGGCAGAGUACGUGAAGGAGUGAAUGAGCAAGGAAUUGAAUUUUACAAAAAUCUUAUAGAUGAAAUUAUAAAAAAAGGUGGCUUCACAAUCUUGAUCUAGUUUAUCGACAAUGAUAUUCCCCAUGUUUGGAACUAUAGUUCGACAAAAAAUGUUUGAAAUUAUAAUUCUUAUUUCUUUUGCAUGGAAAUACAGAAAUGGUGCCUUACGUAACUAUUUUUCAUUGGGAUACUCCUCAAGCUCUAGAAGAUAAGUAUGGCGGCUUUUUAAAUUCUGAAAUUGUGUAAGUGCAUAAUUUCCAUGGAUUUCUCAUACGAGAUUCAAUUCAAUCCUCUAGAAUUAAUUUUUUAUGCAUACUUGAAUUGUACAAGUAUAGCAUAUAAGAAUUAAGAGAACAUCUUAUUAGUUAUUAUAUUAAAUAUACAGAGAUGACUUUCGUGAUUUUGCAAAUCUUUGCUUCGAAAGUUUUGGUGAAAAAGUAAAGUAUUGGAUUACUAUAAAUGAACCAUGGUCUCUGGCGUCAUUUGGCUAUGAUUUAGGCGUCCAUGCCCCUGGCCGAUGUUCAGAAUGGGUGAAUCGAGCAUGUUCUGAAGGAAAUUCAGGAACUGAACCUUAUAUAGUUUCCCAUAAUCUACUCCGUGCUCAUGCAGCUGCUGUUGAUUUAUAUAGAAGAAAAUACAAGGUAUGUAUAAAUAUUGUAUUGAAACAAUAUAUAUAUAUAUUAAUUAUUAUUUGAUUUUUCUCACGUUUGACUAUAUAUAUAUAUAUAUAGGCAACACAAAAUGGCAUGAUUGGGAUGGCACUGAAUUCUAUGUGGUUUGAGCCAUACUCUAAUAGCAUAGAUGACAAAGAAGCAGCCAAAACAGCUCUUGAUUUCAUGUUUGGCUGGUGAGUUUUCUUGAUUGCUCUUAAUUAACCUUUAUAAUAAUAUAUUAAUGUAAGCCUAAAAUUAAUAUGUAUCUUUUAGGUUUAUGGAUCCUAUAACCUAUGGUCAAUAUCCAAGAAGCAUGCGAAUUUUGGUGGGAGAUAGAUUGCCAAAAUUCAAGUCCAAAGAAUCUAAAUUGCUCAAAGGAUCAUAUGAUUUUCUUGGGUUAAACUACUAUGCUGCAAACUAUGCAAAAGGAAAUGCUGUUGUUGAUCCACAUAAACCUACAUAUUCAACCGAUCACCAUGUUCAUCAAACUCGUGAGUUCACUUUUAUAUCACUUCCCCAUUCAAUUAAAUGAUAAGAAAUUUACUUCUUGAUAAAUAACUUGCAUGUUCAAUUUUCAUUCUUCUUUUUCUCACAGAUUUGGGCCAAAAUGGUGAACCUAUUGGCGAAAAGGUAAGUGUGAAAAAAAAAGUUUGACAAAAUGAAAAAUCAUGAGAAGAUAUAUAACAUUGAAAUAAAUCUGCAGGCUUACUCACCCUGGUUUUAUAUCUAUCCGAAAGGUCUUCGAUAUCUUUUGAAUUACACCAAAGAUACAUACAAAAAUCCAACUAUUUAUAUUACUGAGAAUGGUAAGGAAUAUUAAGCAUUCUUAUUACCAAUUACAAGAAUGCUACCUAUAAUAACAUGUUCAUAAUGGUUUGAUACAUUCAGGGGUUGAUGAACACUAUAAGCAAGGGCUUGACGAUCAUUUGAGGAAAAAAUAUUAUCAAGACCAUCUUAAGAAUGUACUUCGAUCCAUCAAGUGAGUCCAAUCUCUGAGACAUUAAUUAAACUACAAGUUUAUCAGAUAAUCAUUUUGCCUAAUGAUGAUUAAUUGGUUUUUUGGCAGGGAGUAUAAUGUUAGUGUGAAAGGUUACUUUGCUUGGUCAUAUGCAGACAACUUUGAAUGGAAUAUUGGUUAUAGGUCUAGAUUCGGUUUGGUCCACGUAGAUUACGAAAAUAACCGAGCAAGAGACGUCAAGCAAUCAGCUAAUUGGUUCAUGGAAUUCCUGAAAAACAAGACCUCAGGCAAUCAGCAAAUUUAGGAUGAUGGUUUAUCUCAUUUAUUUAGGGAUUAAAGAUGGCAUCGUCAGUUAAAAUGAAACCAUCUGGAGUUUUUC